rnacentral:rRNA from 1 species
ACGUAGGGGGCAAGCGUUGUCCGGAGUUACUGGGCGUAAAGCGCUCGCAGGCGGUGAUGUACGUAGAGGGUUCCAGCCAUCGGCUUAACCGAUGGAGUGCUCGCUAAACGGCAUGACUUGAGGGCUAGAGAGGGACAUGGAACUCCGGGUGGAGUGGUGAAAUGCGUAGAGAUCCGGAAGAACACCAAAGGCGAAGGCAGUGUCCUGGCUAGUACCUGACGCUAAGGAGCGAGAGCUAGGGGAGCGAACAGGAUUAGAUACCCUGGUAGUCCUAGCCGUAAACGAUGACCACUAGGCGUGGGGGGUAUCGACCCCUUCCGUGCCGACGUUAACACAUUAAGUGGUCCGCCUGGGGAGUACGGUCGCAAGAUUA